GAUCAUGGCUCAGGAUGAACGCUAGCGGCAGGCUUAACACAUGCAAGUCGAGGGGCAGCACGAGGUAGCAAUACUUUGGUGGCGACCGGCGCACGGGUGCGUAACGCGUAUGCAACCUACCUUUAACAGGGGCAUAACACUGAGAAAUUGGUACUAAUUCCCCAUAACAUUCGAGAAGGCAUCUUCUUGGGUUAAAAACUCCGGUGGGUUAAAGAUGGGCAUGCGUUGUAUUAGCUGGUUGGUGAGGUAACGG
rnacentral:rRNA from 1 species